rnacentral:rRNA from 1 species
AUUGAACGCUGGCGGCAUGCCUUACACAUGCAAGUCGAACGGCAGCACGGGUGCUUGCACCUGGUGGCGAGUGGCGAACGGGUGAGUAAUACAUCGGAACGUACCUUAUCGUGGGGGAUAACGCAGCGAAAGCUGUGCUAAUACCGCAUACGCCCUGAGGGGGAAAGCGGGGGAUCGCAAGACCUCGCGCGAUUAGAGCGGCCGAUGCCUGAUUAGCUAGUUGGUGGGGUAAAAGCCCACCAAGGCGACGAUCAGUAGCUGGUCUGAGAGGACGAUCAGCCACACGGGGACGGAGACACGGCCCAGACUCCUACGGGAGGCAGAAGUGGGGAAUUUUGGACAAUGGGGGCAACCCUGAUCCAGCAAUGCCGCGUGAGUGAAGAAGGCCUUCGGGUUGUAAAGCUCUUUUGUCAGGGAAGAAACACCGGCUCUAACACAGUCCGGGAAUGACGGUACCUGAAGAAUAAGCACCGGCUAACUACGUGCCAGCAGCCGCCGUAA